UUGUGUUGAUUAUUCAGGUUGCUUAGUGAAGUUUCCAUUAUAUAUAUUAUUGUUGAUUUAAUUUGUUCUCAAUCUUUAACUUGAAAAUUAUUUUUUAGUGCUUUAGUUUCCUUUUCAAGUUAUUUGCUACUUUAAUUAGGUGAUAAUUUAGAAUCAGUUAGAGAAUUUAUAAAAAUUAGUUUAACAUAUUGUUAUGUUUUUUGAAUUUGAGUUUGAAUUUGUUUGGACUGGAUUGAUUUAUUUUCUACUGAAUUUUUGCAAUGUGUUGAUGAUGGUUGUGUCAUGCAUUGAUGCUGACUUGUGUAAAUUGAUAUUCAAGAAAUACUUGGUUGCGCUAUUUUUUGUUGUUUGAUGCUUUUGCACGCCAAGUCUCGAUUAUAUGCCUUUAUGUCAAAUUUUUGUUUUAGUUGAUAAUUAGUAUUAUCUUUGAAAUGUAUAUAAUAGUAUAAACAAGUUAAUAUAUUCUACUGGAAAUGUUGUGAAUUCAAUUGAUGAGCUUUGACUGAUGUUGUGGAUUGAGAUUAGUAAGAUUUGUAGAAACCAUAAAUGUGGAUAUAUGUCCAAUUUUAGGAGAUGUUAUGUCAAUUUUUUUUCAAAUAAUAUAAAUAUUGAAAGAUUUGUGUUGUACAUAUGCUUAUUAGUGUUAAUUGGUAUUCUGUUUGAAGACAUGACAACAAGUAGUAGAGGUGUCACGAGUCGGUCUCGUGGUCGUGGUAGAAGGAAGGUUUCCACUAUUGGUACCCCGGAGACUUCUUAGUCAUCACCUUUACCUUGACUACCCCGUCGACCCCUAUUACAUCACAGACGGGUCUACUGGACCAGCAGUUCAUUAUGGUCCCCGACUACGUGGCUCCUUCUGCUACGCCCUCCUUCGCCCCCUAUAACUCUAGCAACAGAGAUUGCAGUGGGUGAUUCUUCUAAUGUGUCCCAGCCAGAUGUCCCUCCACCACCGUCCAUCAUACAGAUGAGGAUUUGGUCUGAUGGCAUGUAUGGGUUUGCACCAAACAACAGAGCAUGUACACAAGAGAUCUCCAAUGUGAUUAAGUCCAUGUACAACAACUCAUGGCCGAACUACACGAAGAUUUCUACCGAGACUAGAAAGCGAUAAUUUCAGAACUGGGAGGUAAGAACCCAAUGUUGUUGAAAUUAACCGUAUUUUAAUUGUAUUUUAUUUCAACUAACUAAUGUUAUUAAAUUACUUUGUGCAUAAGAAUUUUAUAUGGGAUAUGGAACAUGUUAUCUUGAUCAGGAAGAUCUACGACCACCGAAUAGUUAGACGACUUUAGCAGAUGAUAUAGGACGUUAGUUAGGGGUGUGAACACCUCACAAUUUGACUCCAUUCAGAUAUUAAGAAGGAACUAAACGUCCAUUUUAGUACUGAUGAGGGGUUCAAGCAUUAUCGUCUGACGAACAGAACUAACAGGGAUUCGCGGAGGUUGUCGAAGUA